rnacentral:lncRNA from 1 species
CUUAAUUUUAGGAGGUAACUGGUCCAAGACCCUAACACUCUGGGAGUGUUAGAACCAUGUAACCUCAGUAUGCCAGGAUAAUCCUGAGCUCAUCCAUUGCCAGGAACAGAUUUAGAAACAUCACAGGCUUUGUGUGGGUCUGGCCUCUGUGAGCAGCACAGUUCAGGGCACGGAGGACCUGCCCUUUAAUCCUGCUUUUCUGGGAUUAUUCUCCAGGGCUGAUGUUCUAUGAGGAAGCUUGAAGAGUUGAGAUCCAUAGGAGGAAAUGUAGAUGGUAUAAAGGAGAACUGAUUUGAAGAAAGAGCACAAAACCAAGAAGGAGGAACUCCUGUCCCACUUAAUAAUCUACUUAUGUGAUGAGUUUAUACCACCUGUGCUAUUGGAAGGACACUGACGAGGUCCCCAGAACAACACAUGCUGCACCAACACACAACCUUGUGUCUUAAAUGAGCUCAGGGAAACAAGCAACUUUCCAAAACAUUUAUAGGAAAUACAAGAUAUAACAAGUGCGUUUGUGUAUGUGUGUAUUUUAUGUGUGUUAUUUUGUCCUUGAGGGAUUAGGUAUGUGUUCAGUAUAUUGAUUCUGAACUUAGUUUUGGGGAUAGGAUGUAUCACCCAAAUUAUUUCCAGAUUUUCUGAUGAAGGUUUUUCAGUGGCUGCUUCAGUCAGCAGCAUGUGGACUCCAGACCAAAGUCCCACUAUGUUGACUCAGCUUCAGUUCCUGAAGCAAGACUCCUCAUUUCACUCUGAGGGAAGAAUUAGAAAUAAAG